rnacentral:lncRNA from 1 species
AGGGUGAUGAUGAUGACGAAACCCAACCUCCGGUAGAUUUAGAUGAUACACCUACUAGUCCUGCUCCUAAUGACCCAGAACACCCACCCGUACAAACUUCCACUUUUAGUAGACAACCUCGGAAACGUUCAGAAACUUCAUUAGUUUGGUAUUUUUGUAUUCAAAUAAGAGAUAAAGAUAAGGCUAAAUGUAAAACUUGUGGUAAAGAACUUGUUCAUAGNNN